rnacentral:rRNA from 1 species
UGAGGAAUAUUGCACAAUGGGCGCAAGCCUGAUGCAGCGACGCCGCGUGGGUGAAGAAGGUUUUCGGAUCGUAAAACCCUUUUCUGUGUGACGAGCAAGGACGGUAGCACAGGAAUAAGUCUCGGCUAACUACGUGCCAGCAGCCGCGGUAAAACGUAGGAGACAAACGUUAUCCGGAGUUACUGGGCGUAAAGGGCGUGCAGGCGGCAGUCUAAGUCUGGCGUGAAAGAUCCCGGCUUAACCGGGGAAGGUCGUCGGAUACUGGGCAGCUAGAGGGCGGUAGAGGCGUGUGGAAUUCCGGGUGUAGUGGUGAAAUGCGUAGAGAUCCGGAGGAACACCAGUGGCGAAGGCGACAUCCUGGACCAAUUCUGACGCUGAGGAGCGAAAGCCAGGGGAGCAAACGGGAUUAGAUACCCACGUAGUCCCUGAGCGGGCUGGCAAGGCGCAU